UACAGAGGGUGCGAGCGUUAAUCGGAAUUACUGGGCGUAAAGCGUGCGUAGACGGUUAUUUAAGUCGGGUGUGAAAGCCCCGGGCUCAACCUGGGAAUUGCAUUCGAGACUGAAUAGCUAGGGUACGGUAGAGGGAAGUGGAAUUUCCGGUGUAGCGGUGAAAUGCGCAGAUAUCGGGAGGAACACCAAUGGCGAAGGCAGCUCGCUGGGACGGUACUGACGCUGAGACGCGAAAGCGUGGGGAGCAAACAGG
rnacentral:rRNA from 1 species